rnacentral:rRNA from 1 species
AACGCGAAGAACCUUACCAGCCCUUGACAUGUCCCGUAUGAGUACCAGAGAUGGAACUCUUCAGUUCGGCUGGCGGGAACACAGGUGCUGCAUGGCUGUCGUCAGCUCGUGUCGUGAGAUGUUGGGUUAAGUCCCGCAACGAGCGCAACCCUCGCCCUUAGUUGCCAUCAUUAAGUUGGGAACUCUAAGGAGACCGCCGGUGACAAACCGGAGGAAGGUGGGGAUGACGUCAAGUCAUCAUGGCCUUUAUGGCCAGGGCUACACACGUGCUACAAUGGCAGGUACAGAGGGAAGCCAACGCGCGAGCGGGAGCCAAUCCCAGAAAGCCUGUCGUAGUCCGGAUCGGAGUCUGCAACUCGACUCCGUGAAGUCGGAAUCGCUAGUAAUCGCAGAUCAGCAUUGCUGCGGUGAAUACGUUCCCGGGCUUGUACACACCGUAGAGAC